ACCCACUGAGCCAGGCACCCCUAAUUUUAAUUUUUGAUACAAUUUUUCUUUGUUCCCUUCCUGCAGGUCUCUUUUACGUUGGUUAGUUUAGCGAACUGCCUCCAGCCUGGACUGCUGACCCGUGACCUCCCAUAACUCAAACCCAGGCUGGCAUAUGUGGGCUUCGUUCCCUCACUUCUCAGUGUCUCCUCCUGAAAUCAAGACGCUUCCUCAGGUCCCAGCUUAAAUGUCGCCUCUUCAAUGGAGUUCUUCCUUGACUGCCUCACGUAAUAGUAGUAAAACGUUCUCAGAUGGUUUGGGGUGCUGGUUACGCAGCUCAGUGAACAUACCAAAACCAGUUGAACUGGCCUCUGUGAAUGGGCGAGAUGUAAGGUAUGUGAAUUGUGACUCAAUACGGCUAUUAAAAAAAUAAACUCAGAUACAAAAAGUCUCUUCGAUUAGGAGCAAGGUCACACGCACUGGGAAGUAGAAUACUGAAAGGUUUGAGAUGCCUGAAAGGUAAGAUUUCAAAUGAAUGGGAAAAGGCGUAUCCAAAGCCACCAACAAAUGGGGAAAACACCCAAUCCAAAACUCAGAUCAGAAACGCAACAGAUCCAGACUAAUUUUUAAGACACAAUCAAAUGGUGGAUGACAAAGCCGGUGCAAUUACAGAAGCUAAAUAUAAACAAAAGCGUUCAGCUAUAUACCUGUC
rnacentral:lncRNA from 1 species